rnacentral:rRNA from 1 species
UUCACCUCUUCCCAUUCCGCACAGAGCAGUUAAGCCCUACCGCGCCGAUGGUACUGCCGUAACAGGUGGGAGAGUAGGUCAUUGCCAACC